AUUGAACGCUGGCGGCAUGCCUUACACAUGCAAGUCGAACGGCAGCACGGGAGCAAUCCUGGUGGCGAGUGGCGAACGGGUGAGUAAUAUAUCGGAACGUGCCCGGUCGUGGGGAUAACGUAGCGAAAGCUACGCUAAUACCGCAUACGAUCUACGGAUGAAAGCGGGGGGAUCGCAAGACCUCGCGCGAUUGGAGCGGCCGAUAUCAGAUUAGGUAGUUGGUGAGGUAAAGGCUCACCAAGCCGACGAUCUGUAGCUGGUCUGAGAGGACGACCAGCCACACUGGGACUGAGACACGGCCCAGACUCCUACGGGAGGCAGCAGUGGGGAAUUUUGGGACAAUGGGCGCAAGCCUGAUCCAGCAAUGCCGCGUGCAGGAUGAAGGCC
rnacentral:rRNA from 1 species